UACGUAGGGUGCGAGCGUUGUCCGGAAUUAUUGGGCGUAAAGAGCUCGUAGGCGGUCUGUCGCGUCGAAUGUGAAAACCCGGGGCUCAACCCUCGGGCCUGCAUUCGAUACGGGCAGACUAGAGUUCGGUAGGGGAGUCUGGAAUUCCUGGUGUAGCGGUGAAAUGCGCAGAUAUCAGGAGGAACACCGGUGGCGAAGGCGGGACUCUGGGCCGAUACUGACGCUGGAGGAGCGAAAGCGUGGGGAGCAAACAGG
rnacentral:rRNA from 1 species